GGAUGGCCGCACCCUUGCAGACUAUAACAUCCAGAAAGAGUCUACUCUUCAUCUUGUCCUGAGGCUCCGUGGCGGUGACUUGUGAAUGUCCUGUGUGCUGCUGAUUUCAUGAUGGCUGUGUGCUUUGUUGUUUUAUUUCAUGACUUUUAGUGUUCUUCGUUAUAGUACUAUCUUUCUUUUAAGAGACCUUGUAAUGUGUUAUGUUCUGUUGUUUUUUGCUGCAACCUUAAUAAAUAAAUAUUAGCCGAUAAAUGUGU
rnacentral:misc_RNA from 1 species